rnacentral:rRNA from 1 species
GACGAACGCUGGCGGCGUGCUUAACACAUGCAAGUCGAACGCUGAAGCUCAGCUUUUGUUGGGUGGAUGAGUGGCGAACGGGUGAGUAACACGUGAGUAACCUGCCCCCUUCUUUGGGAUAACGCCCGGAAACGGGUGCUAAUACUGGAUAUUCACUGGUCUUCGCAUGGGGGUUGGUGGAAAGGGUUUUUCUGGUGGGGGAUGGGCUCGCGGCCUAUCAGCUUGUUGGUGGGGUGAUGGCCUACCAAGGCUUUGACGGGUAGCCGGCCUGAGAGGGUGACCGGGCACAUUGGGACUGAGAUACGGCCCAGACUCCUACGGGGGGCAGCAGUGGGGAAUAUUGCACAAUGGGCGCAAGACUGAUGCAGCGACGCCGCGUGAGGGAUGGAGGCCUUCGGGUUGUGAACCUCUUUCGCUAAUGGUCAAGCCGCAACAAUGGUUGUGGUGAGGGUAGUGGGUAAAGAAGCGCCGGCUAACUACGUG